AGCAGCAUAGGAAAGAAGUGUUGAGAACUGCUCUUAACCCUUUUGGAGGCCGAAGUCAAAAGACUGCCUGAAGUUACACUGUAGAUGCUGAAAUCACUGCACCUUAAAAACAAAAAGAUUAAGCCACACUGCAUUCCUCUUUAAAAGGAAAGGGGAUGCUCUUUUUCCUGCUGUGGAGGUACUUUGGAGACAAAGCUGCUCUCUGAAACUGAUGGUGAGUAUGGAACAUGUGCGUGUGGAUUGGGUUCCCAGCCUGUGCCACAGUGCCAGAUUUUCCUGACAGCACGUGGUCCUGAAGAUCCCCCAGAACAUUAUCCGUGCUGCCAAGCAAUUGCAGCAGGCCUCUCCACUCCUUCCUGGUCACACCUUGUCAGCUUUGGGAAAUGUCCACAUCUCUCUCCCUGUUGCAUAGGGCUUUUGGCACAGAGGAUACUUCUGCAUGCUCCUCUCACCCUUGCAGGAUGGUGAGUGGGCUUGCCCAGCCUGGCUCAGUUGGAGUUUUUGAUAAACUCUAUAGAGUGAAAUUGUUUUUUUCAGAGCUGCUUCUGUGAUAUAUUAUCUGCAAAUGCUACUGUCCCUGAUACAUUUCUUUUUACAUGUUUGGCUGUAACCUUGUUCACACAGGCUGAUCAUGUGUGCCCCAGAUACAGACAUGAAGACAAAGUUUCCGAUUCCAUCUGCUGCAGUCUAUAGCGAUUUUAUCUACCAUUCACUGUGGGGAAAGCAAUUCUGAUUUAAAUGGCGCAUAGGCUGUGCAUUAUUAGUGUGAUAGGAUAAAGUAUUACAAGUUUAUUCCUAUUGAGUUUUUAUAUUUGAACAGGAAAUAACUGUGCUGCAUGAACUGUAAGUGGAGAUGUAUAAAGCAAAAAAAAAAAAAAACAAAAAAACCCAAAAACAUCCCAAAACAAAACAAAAAGCAAACAAACAAAAAACCCACAAAAAAACCCCAAACAACAAAAAAACCAACCAAAAAUAAAAACCAAAACCAAAAAGAAAAAAAAAAAAGAAAAACCUUGUGAAAUAGUAGAGGCUGGAACUUUACAUCACUGAUGUCUGCUUGUUAAACCUCCCCAGAAUGAUUCUUCCACCAAAAUACCCAACCAGUUCUUCUCGCAACUUUCAGCAGAGGUAGGCAGGAAAUUCCAUUUAAAAAAAAAAUAAAAAUUGCAGCUCCCUUGGAGACACCGCUGUUUGGAAAUGAAUAGUUAACAAAUGCAACCUUUUCACUGAUGCCCUAAAUUCCUUUGUCACUUAGUAACAGCCUUUACAAACUACGCCUCCACGCCUGACCUAAGUUACAUCAUAUUGCCAUAUUGUGAAAUAAUCUAUUGUUGAAUGUGUAUAGAAAAUUGGUUAUAAGAUCCAUGAUAUCAUAAUGAAUAAUUAUAAUUUUUUUUACUAAAUAGAUUACAAGGUUUAUUUAGUUAAAAUAUCAUGUCAGUGCAGAGAGCAAAAUAAAAAAUAAGUUCAUGUGCUGUGCUUGGAUUGAGAGACAUGUCAUUAUGUACCUUCUUAGCUUCCUAACACUGCUAAUGGGAAUAGUGAUAACCUUUAUCUCUCCACUCAGCUGCAGGAGACCUUGGUGUCUGCCAGGAGACAGCUUGCUAGUGGAAAGCUUCCUCCAGCAAGCUGGUUCUUACUAAUCAUCUUGUUAGUCCUCCCUAAGGCAUCGCUGCAUUAGUGCAGGUUUGGGGCAUGAUCACACCUUUCUAAAUCUGUGGGAUUUUAGUAGGUCAGGUUUGUAUCAAGUGUUACUGUCCAGAAGUUUGUUAAUUUAAAUUAAAGUAGGAAUUAGCCUGGAAAAAUAAAUGUAUAAUUGAGCAACUGGAUUUUAGCUCAGGACCAGCUGAAUCCAUUACCAGGUUAGCAUACCUCAAUGUGGGCUUAAUUUGCUUUUCUCUUUUCCUCAAAAUUAAUGAUUUCUUUAAGUUUUUUGUUUGGAGUUCUGCUUGCUUCAUUUCUAAGUAGGCAAAGAUGCUCAUGUGUGUCUAAUGUUGUGGUAAACAUUACAUAGAUAAUGUUGAGAGUUAAUCCAGUGUGAAGGUGGGCUGGUAGUGCUGAGAGCCUUUGUGACACAGAAACAAAAGCACUAAGUUGUUUUGAGAGCGAUUUUCCCUGCUAGAAAAAGCACUGCAGAACGCCUGUCCGGCUUUGGGUGAUUAAAGUACCUUUGAAAGUGAAAGCAAAUAGGUGCUGCAAGCGGGGGGAAAAAAAAAAAAACGCGAGGUUCAAACAGCGGAGUGGCCACGCAGUCGGCUUUGUCUCGCUGGGGUUUGGGAGGGAUUCCUGCCCAAAAAGGCGCGUUCGGACCGGGCCGCUCUCAGCCGUGCCGGGGCCCCGGGAGCCGCGUGAGCGCUCGGUCCCCGUGCCAGAGGAAGGAAGGCAGGCAGGCAGGCAGGCAGGCAGGCAGGCAGGCAGGCAGGAAGGCAGGCAGGAAGGCAGGC